UAGUACGGCGAGUGAAGCGGCAAAAGCUCAAAUUUGAAAUCUGGUACCUUCGGUGCCCGAGUUGUAAUUUGGAGAGGGCAACUUUGGGGCCGUUCCUUGUCUAUGUUCCUUGGAACAGGACGUCAUAGAGGGUGAGAAUCCCGUGUGGCGAGGAGUGCGGUUCUUUGUAAAGUGCCUUCGAAGAGUCGAGUUGUUUGGGAAUGCAGCUCUAAGUGGGUGGUAAAUUCCAUCUAAAGCUAAAUAUUGGCGAGAGACCGAUAGCGAACAAGUACAGUGAUGGAAAGAUGAAAAGAACUUUGAAAAGAGAGUGAAAAAGUACGUGAAAUUGUUGAAAGGGAAGGGCAUUUGAUCAGACAUGGUGUUUUGUGCCCUCUGCUCCUUGUGGGUAGGGGAAUCUCGCAUUUCACUGGGCCAGCAUCAGUUUUGGUGGCAGGAUAAAUCCAUAGGAAUGUAGCUUGCCUCGGUAAGUAUUAUAGCCUGUGGGAAUACUGCCAGCUGGGACUGAGGACUGCGACGUAAGUCAAGGAUGCUGGCAUAAUGGUUAUAUGCCGCCCGUCUUGAAACACGGC
rnacentral:rRNA from 1 species